GACGAACGCUGGCGGCGUGCUUAACACAUGCAAGUCGAACGGAAAGGCCCUGCUUUUGUGGGGUGCUCGAGUGGCGAACGGGUGAGUAACACGUGAGUAACCUGCCCUUGACUUUGGGAUAACUUCAGGAAACUGGGGCUAAUACCGGAUAGGAGCUCCUGCUGCAUGGUGGGGGUUGGAAAGUUUCGGCGGCUGGGGAUGGACUCGCGGCUUAUCAGCUUGAUGGUGGGGUAGUGGCUUACCAAGGCUUUGGCGGGUAGCCGGCCUGAGAGGGUGACCGGCCACAUUGGGCCUGAGAUACGGCCCAGACGCCUACGUGAGGCAGCAGUGGGGAAUAUUGCGCAAUAGGCGGAAGCCUGAUGCAGCAACGCCGGGUGCGGGAUGACUGCCUUCGGGUUGUAAACCGCUUUCGCCUGUGACGAAGCGUGUGUGACGGUAAUGGGUAAGGAAGCACCGGCUAACUACGUG
rnacentral:rRNA from 1 species